GAAUUAAAUAAAUUUAAGCUUCUAACUUAAUUAUUAGCAUCAUUGUUAUUAAUUCU
rnacentral:tRNA from 1 species